rnacentral:rRNA from 1 species
AUUGAACGCUGGCGGCAGGCUUAACACAUGCAAGUCGAGCGGAGCGAGGGUGCUUGCACCUUAGCUUAGCGGCGGACGGGUGAGUAAUGCUUAGGAAUCUGCCUAUUAGUGGGGGACAACAUUCCGAAAGGAAUGCUAAUACCGCAUACGCCCUACGGGGGAAAGCAGGGGAUCUUCGGACCUUGCGCUAAUAGAUGAGCCUAAGUCGGAUUAGCUAGUUGGUGGGGUAAAGGCCUACCAAGGCGACGAUCUGUAGCGGGUCUGAGAGGAUGAUCCGCCACACGGGGACUGAGACACGGCCCAGACUCCUACGUGAGGCAGCAGUGGGGAAUAUUGGACAAUGGGCGGAAGCCUGAUCCAGCCAUGCCGCGUGUGUGAAGAAGGCCUUUUGGUUGUAAAGCACUUUAAGCGAGGAGGAGGCUACUAGUAUUAAUACUACUGGAUAGUGGACGUUACUCGCAGAAUAAGCACCGGCUAACUCUGCGCCAGCCGCCGCCGUAAAAC